CAGUGCGCAGGCGCGUUGUAGAGCCCUCCCCUUUCCCGCCCACUGCCCGCUGCUGACGGCCCCGCUUCGUUUGAACGGCCGCAGCCAAUGGCAGCUGUGAGGCGAUGUGAAUAUUCACGAGGGCUGAGGAGGAGCGUCUGGGGGUUGGAGGCUGGGGUGACUCCUGAGGGCUUUGCUACUCGGGGGGGGGAACGAAAGUGCUUCUCUUGGGGCCUUUCUACAGCAGUUUGGGGGAGAUGUUGGAGCCUGAGACCAGAGAAAAUUUCAUUCAGGAUUUCAUGGUGAUGCAGCAGCUGUAUCCUAGCAAUCAACCUCUUUAAGGAAGAACUGUCAAGUUCAGGAACUCUGCUAAGACAAGUGUGGAUUCAUAAACUGCUACCAUCAGGAGCCUCAUUAAGGUGAAGAGAAGCAGCAGCCAGUAGUCCCAGCCUGCAUUCUGCCCGCACUGCCAGAUGGAUCCCACUCCAUGCCUCAGCCUCUCCUCGCCCUAAACCUCAGCACUGUGAUUUCAGAGGAGAAAGACAACGCUGAAGGUGCACCUUGUUCAGUAAGAAAGAGGAAGGCAGAGAUAGGUGAAGAGAAACUAGGAGGAGAAAGAGUGGAGGAAAGAAGCUGCUAAACAUGAGAGGAUGAUGUGACCUCCAGAGGGGAAGUACAACACAUCAAAGUGAGAGGUUAAAGAAAAGGAAUGACAACAAUUCUACCCUGGCAGGGAAUUCAGCUCCAGCUCCAGUUUUUCAGUGUUGCUCCUAAGGGACUCCAAAACAUUCUGUAGCUCCUGAAAAUCAAAAUGAGAUC